UAAUCUAAAAGUACAAGUCUCAUAAGUUAUUUUAGUGUGUGUCCAUGCUUAGUUGAAAUGUUGAACCCGAUGUAAUUAGUGAGAUAAUUCAAGAUAAUGAACACACACGUAAAAGUCAGAAUUAGAAUGAGAACGUACUAUGACGAAGACAAUGUAAUUGUUUAACACAUAGGUCAACAACCAUUGAUAAUGACUGUGAAUUACAGUCGAAAUAUUUGGUGACCAUUAAAUGAAACUUGAGCAAUUCCGAUAUACCAAUCUUUAAUUUACAAUU